rnacentral:lncRNA from 1 species
CCGGGCUCUUCCCCUCGUCCUCCCUUCUCCCCUCUGCCGUUUCAGCUGCCGCCGUUCCGUGCAGUUUGGAGCCCAAGCUUUGAAAACUCCCGUGUGGCGCCUGUCUUAAGUCUGAGCAUGCUCAGUC